UCGUUGCUUUUCAUAGAUUUUUCUUAUCCUUGAAAACUUGAAGAAAUGACGUACUAUAUUAGUUACCAGUUUUUUCAUCAGCUGUUAGACACUAUACGUCAUCUAUCUAUUGUACUGUAAUUUCCGUAUUCCAAUCGCGAUUCCAAUCAAUGGUUCCAAGUUAAACAGAAGUAUAUAUUUUUAGAGUUUCAGCUUGCUGGACUUUUUUCUUCCGAAAGUAAUGUCGGCUGAAAACAAUAAUGUUAAAGGGACGAAGAACACGGAAGAAGAAACGAAGAACACGGAAGAAGAAACGAAGAACACGGAAGAAGAAACAGCUACAGCAACUGAUAAAUCUGAUGAUGCUAAUAAGAGUGAUGGAAUCUGAUUAUUUCAAAUGCAGUAUUAUUUUUGCUGAGAAAAGUCAGCGCAGAGGAGGGAGUUUUUUUUUUACCAAAAAAUGACCAUUUUAAGUGAAAAUUAUUCACAUGUCACAUGAAAUAUGGUGUGCAAUGUAAUGAUAUUGCAUCUACAUGGUGACAAGUUUAAAGCAAUUUGAGUAUAUCCUUCUACCAUAGCUUCAAAUAUUAGUUUGUGCAUGGUCAAAAGCUGGUGACUAAGCAUGAUAAUUAUGUUUCUUCACAAUUGUAAGGAUCUAUUUUGCUAAGACAAUAAAUUAAUGUAAGAUAAGUUGCAUUGGAA